UACGAAGGGGGCUAGCGUUGCUCGGAAUCACUGGGCUUAAAGGGCGCGUAGGCGGGUGCUCAAGUCUGUGGUGAAAUCCUCCGGCUCAACCGGAGAACUGCCAUGGAUACUGGGCGUCUCGAGUGUGGUAGGGGUAUGCGGAACUAUCGGUGGAGCGGUGAAAUGCGUUGAUAUCGAUAGGAACUCCGGUGGCGAAGGCGGCAUACUGGACCACCACUGACGCUGAUGCGCGAAAGCCAGGGGAGCAAACGGG
rnacentral:rRNA from 1 species